UACGUAGGGGGCAAGCGUUGUCCGGAAUCAUUGGGCGUAAAGCGCGUGUAGGCGGUUCGGUAAGUCUGCUGUGAAAGUCCAGGGCUCAACCCUGGGAUGCCGGCGGAUACUGUCGGACUAGAGUACGGAAGAGGCGAGUGGAAUUCCCGGUGUAGCGGUGAAAUGCGCAGAUAUCGGGAGGAACACCAAUUGCGAAGGCAGCUCGCUGGGACGUCACUGACGCUGAGACGCGAAAGCGUGGGGAGCAAACAGG
rnacentral:rRNA from 1 species